AGAAUCAACGCUGGCGGCGUGCCUAACACAUGCAAGUCGAACGAGAAAGUGGAGCAAUCCAUGAGUAAAGUGGCGCACGGGUGAGUAACACGUGACUAACCUACCUUUUAGUGGGGGAUAACCUAGGGAAACCUGGGCUAAUACCGCAUAAUACCUACGGGUCAAAGCAGCAAUGCGCUGAAAGAGGGGGUCGCGGUCGAUUAGUUAGUUGGCAGGGUAAUGGCCUACCAAGACUGUGAUCGAUAUCCGGCCUGAGAGGGCGCACGGACACACUGGAACUGAAACACGGUCCAGACUCCUACGGGAGGCAGCAGUGGGGAAUUUUGCGCAAUGGGGGAAACCCUGACGCAGCAACGCCGCGUGGAGGAUGAAGUCCCUUGGGACCGUAAACUCCUUUCGAUCGGGACGAUAAUGACGGUACCGGAAGAGAAGCCCGGCUAACUUCGCGCCAGCAGCCGC
rnacentral:rRNA from 1 species